UAUAACCAAGCUCUCUCUGCAUGGCACAUGGCGUAUUUGUCUGUCUCCCACCUGCCAUGGUCUCCCACCUCCCACAGGGUCCUGUGGCCAUGAAACUUUCAGUAUUACCAUCCUAAAAAUAUCUUUUUAGGCCUUAAAACAUUCUUUUAUGUUUCUAAACCUUAUAAACUUUACAGCUCUUAUGUAAGUUUCUUUUUUGAAUUUGGUAACAAGGAAAACUAUAACUAAUCGUCUUCAACUCCAGUAGAAACCUGAGGAUAUAUUACCUGAGUAAACAGGAAGUACAAAGCAAGCAACUUCCAAAACUAUAGCAAUCACAGAAACAGCAUUUCCUGACCAUCCUUGUGAUAGUGUGAAUAAAAUGUGUUCCUCCAGGCUCAUGUGUUUGAAUACUUGGGCCCCAGUUGGUGGAACUUUUUUGGAAGGAUAAGGAGGUGUGGUCUUAUUGAAGAAGGUGUGUCUCUAGGGGCAGGCUUUGGAAUUUCCAAAGACUGGCCAUUCCCAGUAGGCUCUCUCUGCUUAUGAAUCAAGAUGUAAGACCUUGUCAGUUCAGGCCAUCAUGUGUUUGCUCUGCCACCAUGGACUCUAACGCUCUGAAACUGGAAGUCCAGUUAGAUGUUUUCUUUUGGAAAUUCUCUUGAUUGUGUUGUUUGGACUCAGCAACAGGAAAGUAACUAAGGCAGCCUUCUUUUGUCUUGAUUCCAGAAAUUCUUGUUGUGCAGUUGAAUAUCACAGUGGUAAAGGGAUGGGAGGAAACCAUCACAAGUGGGUUGUUGCUUCUGAGUUUUUCAGAAUAAAAAUGUUAGAGCAAAGAACAUGGAACCCAACACCUGCAUUAAGUAGAGAAAUUAAAUAGGAGAGGAAAGGCUCAAAGUCUCUUCGUUACUUAAAGAGAAAGAACAUUCAAUCUCUGCUCAAACACUACUUGAAAUUCAGCAAAGAUGGAAUCCAUUGCUAGUUAAAUACCUAGCUGAUCUGAGCAAUUAGCUAACUUUAUAUCUAGAUAAAACGUGCCCUUGUAUUUUCUGUGCUAAAUGUUUUUGUUGUUGGAGUUUUCUAUGGUGAUACAUUGCUUUUAGAACAUAAUUUUACUUUAUAAUCCUUUUAGAUUGAUUUGUCUUAAAGUUCUGAUAAACACACACACACACUAAACAGCUUCUUGCCCAUCUUUUCUCUUUUAAAGUUUUAUUCACUCAAUUUUUUAAUGUGUAUGGGUGUAUGUCUGUACCACUUUGUGCCUGGUGUCUUCACAGGCCAGAGGAAUGCACUGGGAUCCCCUGCAGCUACAGUUAUAGAUGGUUGUGAACCACCAUGUGCGUGCUGGGAUCAGAACCUGGGUCUUUUGGAAGAAGAGUCAGUGCUCUUAACCGUUGAACCACCUCUCCAACCCCUCCCUUCAUCUUUUCCAUCUCAGUCAAAUCUGAAUCUGCUCUUAUUGUCUCUUUGGGCAACUAUAGAUCCACCUAGAACUGAAAACACCAUAAAUUGGAAGCGCCUUUUGAUGUGGGAGUGUCAUAUAUCAAUCUGUUGAUUUCAUUGGUUAAGUUAUAAUAAACCAGCUGCUUGGCCUCAUGGCUUGGAACAUAGAUGGGAGGAGUAAACAGAAUAGAAUUCUGGGCGGAAGAGGAAGUGAGGUCAGACUCUGCUCGGCUCCCCGAAGAGACGCCAUGCUCAGCUCUCCCGGGUAGAUGCGAUAGCUCUGCUCUCUGAGGCACACGCGAUGAAGAUGGACAUAGGCUAGAAUCUUCCUGAAAAUGAACGCGGAAAAAGGCUGGUCCUUCCAAGGUUAGGAACCGCUGAACAAGACCGGAACAAAGUCGAAACACUUCGAGCACCGGCACAGCUUUAGGAAAGGAAUGUUCUUGACCUGGAGCAGCCUCGGAGAUCUCGGGACCGCUCCUGACACCACCAUACCUCUGCGGCGAGGAGGACUUUGCUUAAGCACCCGGUCGCCAGCAACACCGUCGAGGGAGGAGGACCCGCCGCUGGCAGCCGAUAGCCCCGCCCGCCUGCCUGGUCCGAAACGUCCGCGUGAUUGACAGCCCUACUAGCCCCACCCAUAUUCUUUCUGAGGAUUGGCUGCCCGCUUCUUCCUGUCCUGCCCCCUCCGAACGGCCCUCUGAUUGGCUACGGCUCUCUGGCCAGCCCCGCCCCGUUUCCUGGCGCUAGUACCCGCGCAGAGUGCCCCGCGCCGGUCUUUCCGUCCCCGGCUCGGAGGCUGAUACUCCGCAGCCAGGUCCCCAGCGCUCUCAGUCGUGCGGCAGCUUCGGACCCGAGCGCAGGAGGAAAACUACAAGAAAGAAACUCGUGAGCUGAAUGCCAGGAAGUCGAAGGGGGUGAUGCUCCAAGGUGAAGUAGUCUUCCCCUGCAGUGACACGGCUCGCCAGUGUCUUAGGAUUAUCGGCGUUGUAGCAGAUGGUGUCACCCACUUGAUCGAUGAGAUAGGUGCUGAAGCCCCAUUUUACAGGAAAGGAGACUGAGGGCCAUAUGAGAGAACCCCAGAAUAGCCUUAUAAUUGCACUGAAGAUGGCCUCCCCAAAAUACGUUUUUUAUUUUCUUUUUUUUUUUUUUUGUUCUGGUGGGGGAGGUUCGAGACAGGAUUUCUCUGUGCCUGGCUACCCUGGAACUCAAGACAUUAGCUUUCCUCUGUCUCCGAGUGCUGGAAUUAAAGGCCUAUGCCACCAUGCUUGGUUAUGAUAUGUUAGGGCUUUAAGCAAAGCUGGACAUUGGUGGCGCACACCUUUAAUCUCAGCUCUUGGGAGGCAGAGGCAGGUGGAUUUCUGUGAGUUCGAGGUCAGCCUGGUCUACAAAAGCUAGUUCCAGAACAGGCUCCAAAGCUACAGAGAAACCCUGUCUCAAACCAAAAAGAAAAACUGCAAACAAAAGGGGGAAGUAAAGGAGGACAGUCAGGCUAGAUCAUUGGGAUUUGCUGGGCUAGGAGGUGGUACUUGUGUCACCUUGCCUGCCAGGACAAGUUCUUUGCUAGCCCAGUCUGUGCCAGUAGUCCCGAUGUUAUUAACCCGUAAAUUGCUGUGUAUCACUUUCCAGAAUCUUAAAUAAAAGCUUUUCCUCUGCCGA